UCGGCGGUGGUGUAAUCGGCAACACAGGUGACUUUGACUCAUCUAUUCCAGGUUCGAGUCCUGGCCGCCGAGC
rnacentral:tRNA from 1 species